rnacentral:rRNA from 1 species
GACGAAGGUGGCAAGCGUUGUUCGAAAUCACUGGGCUUAAAGGGUGCGUAGGCGGACCUGCAAGUGUCUUGUGAAAUCCCCCGGCUUAACCGGGGAAUCGCUCGGCAAACUGCGGGUCUUGAGGCAAGUAGGGGUGCGUGGAACUCUUGGUGGAGCGGUGGAAUGCGUAGAUAUCAAGAGGAACGCCGAAGGUGAAAACAGCGCACUGGGCUUGCCCUGACGCUGAGGCACGAAAGCGUGGGGAGCAAACAGGAUUAGAUACC